rnacentral:rRNA from 1 species
AUAAUGUCACGCAGCGCGCGUUAUACGUAGGGGCAGCGUUGUCCGGGAUUAUUGGGCGUAAAGCGCGCGCCCAGGCGGUUCCUUAGUCUGAUGUGAAAGGCCCACAAGCUCAACUGUGGAGGGCCAAUGGAAACUGGGGAACUGAGGACAGAAAGAGGAGGAGCGGAAUUCCACGUGUAGCGGUGAAAUGCGUAGAUAUGUGGAGGAACACCAGUGGCGAAGGCGGCUCUCUGGUCUGUAACUGACGCUGAGGCGCGAAAGCAUGGGUAGCGAACAGGAUUAGAUACCCUGGUAGUCCAUGCCGUAAACGUUGAGUGCUAGGUGUUAGGGGGUCCAACCCUUAGUGCUGCAGUUAACGCAAUAAGCACUCCGCCUGGGGAGUACGGCCGCAAGGCUGAAACUCAAAGGAAUUGACGGGGGCCUGCACAAGCGGUGGAGCAUGUGGUUUAAUUCGACGCAACGCGAAGAACCUUACCAGGUCUUGACAUCUUCGGACAGCCCAAGAGAUUGGGUCUUCCCUUCGGGGACCGAAUGACAGGUGGUGCAUGGUUGUCGUCAGCUCGUGUCGUGAGAUGUUGGGUUAAGUCCCGUAACGAGCGCAACCCCUGAUCUUAGUUGCCAGCAUUGAGUUGGGCACUCUAGGAUGACUGCCGGUGACAAACCGGAGGAAGGCGGGGAUGACGUCAAAUCAUCAUGCCCCUUAUGACCUGGGCUACACACGUGCUACAAUGGAUGGUACAAAGGGAAGCCAAACCGCGAGGUCGAGCUAAUCCCAUAAAGCCAUUCUCAGUUCGGAUUGUAGGCUGCAACUCGCCUGCAUGAAGCCGGAAUCGCUAGUAAUCGCGGAUCAGAAUGCCGCGGUGAAUACGUUCCCAGGCCUUGUACACACUCGCCUUGUCAACGACCACGAGAGUUGGCUUUUCUACUCACUAAGCUCCG